rnacentral:rRNA from 1 species
AGGGCACCACCAGGAGUGGAGCCUGCGGCUUAAUUUGACUCAACACGGGGGAACUCACCCGGCCCGGACACCGGAAGGAUUGACAGAUUGAUAGCUCUUUCUUGAUUCAGUGGGUGGUGGUGCAUGGCCGUUCUUAGUUGGUGGAGUGAUUUGUCUGGUUAAUUCCGAUAACGAACGAGACUCUAGCCUACUAAAUAGACCUCGGCAUUCUCUGUACUGUCGAGGCGCUUCUUAGAGGGACAGGCGGCGUUUCAGCCGCACGAAACAGAGCAAUAACAGGUCUGUGAUGCCCUUAGAUGCCCGGGGCCGCACGCGCGCUACACUGAAGUGAUCAGCGUGCAUUUUCAGCCUACUCUGCCAAGAGUGGGAAACCCAAUGAACCUUCUUCGUGAUUGGGAUAGGAGAUUGUAAUUAUUCUCCUUGAACGAGGAAUUCCCAGUAAGCGCGAGUCAUAAGCUCGCGUUGAUUACGUCCCUGCCCUUUGUACACACCGCCCGUCGCUACUACCGAUUGAAUGGU